rnacentral:tRNA from 2 species
GCGGCCAUAGCUCAGUGGACAGAGCGCCGAUCUCCUACAUCGGAUGUCUCCCGUUCGAAUCGGGAUGGCCGCACCA